UCUGUUUUCGGCCCAACCCUAAAAAGAUCCGGGUCGGGUUAAAAGAAAAAGGCAAAAUCAAACACGGGUUGCUGUUCUUCAUCUCUCUGCGGCGCCUUGUCUCUCCCAAACUCGAAGGUCAGCUUCCCUUCGAUUCACCUCUCAAACACCAAUAUUGCUUUCAUUUUCUCACCUCAUCCUUUCUCCCCAAGGUUUGUGUCGAUCUCGAAGCACAUAGAAAUUUUCAAAUAACCUAAUUGUCUCUCUUCUCGUCAAAAACCCAAUCCAUAUAUUUCUCGGAGAUUUUUUUUUCAACUCGACAUCUAAAUUCAUCUCCGCGACGUAAAAACCCUAAUUCCGUGGUGCUGUUGCAGUCUCAAAGUUUCUGCACACUCUCUGAAAUCGAAACGGAGGUUUCGUUUUAUAAUUAGGGUUUCUCAGGAUUCUCAUGGUGGAGGAUGUUUUGGUCAGAGUCUGAUUUGAGGGAUUACUCUCGAGAGAAGUGAAGAUAAGGCAUCAAUCGAGAACAAUUCGUUUGUGAAAUUAGGGUUUUUGAGGUACAUGUAUGGCUUCGGAGCCUGUUAACGGAGAAGCAACCGGCAGAGCUAGAGAGAAGAAGCAAAGCAUUAGAGUCUAUACGAGGAAAGGUAAAGGCCAGAGGAAACAUUCACCCUUCUUUGCAUUCGAAGGAGGCGGUGGCGGCGAUAAACCAGAGGGGAAAUCAGAAAACAAUCAUGUGAGUCCUCCUGAAACUCUAGCUCGAGUGUCUGUGGAUGAGGAUCAUCUUGAGGCCACUGCAGCAGAAGCACCUGUUGAUGAUUCUGACAAAUUGACUGAAACGCCUCAGGUUGAUACCAGUUUGGCCGCUACUGAUAAGAACGUUAUACAACCUGUUCCAGGUCGUCCUUUGGGUGAGGAUGAUGUGAACACAACUCAAGAUGAUGUCAAUACAGUGGUUGUUGAUGAGAACUCUAUCAAGGAACCACCUCCUAAAAGCCUUUCCCAAGAAGAUGUAACUACUACCAUGAUUGUUGACAAGAAGGCUAUUGAUGCACCUUCCCAAGCCCUAUCAGCUGAAGAUGCUAAUAAUGUUGUUGUUGUUGUUGACAAGAAUCCCAUUGAAGUGUCUUCUGAGGAUGAGGAAUAUGUCCACGUGGUAGAUGAAGAUCACCUUGUUAAAGAAGCUAACCUUGUGGAAAGAGAUGCCACUGAUUCUGUUCAGAACAUCCGUGCUACUGCUGCUGAAAGCAUGCCAAUGGAGGAGGAUGUAGAUGGACGGAUAAGGAUACAUGUAGCCUCCAAAUCUAGGCAACAGAAAGAGGAGAUCAGGAAGAAGCUUGAAGUUCAGCUUAACGUGGUCAGAGGUCUGGUUAAGAAGAUUGAGGACAAAGAGGGGGAGAUUGGUGCGUACAAUGACUCUCCCCUUUUGGCUAACACUGGUAUCAAUAACGGAGGAGGAAGGAUUCUCUCCGGGUUCGCAUCAGCUGGACUUCCUCGUGAGGUCAUCAGAGUGCCAAGGCCUUUGAAUCAACUCAGUAUAUCAGUGUUGGAGAAUACUCAAGGAGUUAAUGAGCAUGUGGAGAAAGAGAAAAGAACACCUAAGGCCAAUCAGUUUUAUAGAACUUCAGAGUUCUUGCUUGGUGACAAGUUGCCACCUGCAGAGAGUAACAAGAAAUCAAAGUCAAGUGCAAAGAAGUAUGGAGGGGAGGUUGGGCAUGGUUUUGGUGCAGGCUCUAAAGUUUUCAAGAACUGCAACGCUCUACUAGAAAGGCUGAUGAAGCAUAAGCACGGUUGGGUGUUCAAUGCUCCUGUAGAUGUGAAGGGUCUAGGUUUGCAUGAUUACUUUACCAUUAUCGAACACCCUAUGGAUUUGGGAACUGUCAAGUCUACGCUAACAAAUAAUCUUUACAAGUCGCCAAGAGAAUUUGCGGAGGAUGUUAGACUUACUUUCCACAAUGCCAUGACUUACAACCCACCAGGACAAGAUGUCCAUAUCAUGGCGCAAGUGCUAUUACAGAUGUUUGAGGAGAGGUGGGCUGUUAUAGAGUCAGAUUAUAAUCGUGAAAUGAGAUUUGUCACUGCUUAUGAGAUGAAUCUGCCAGCUUCUACAAUGAGGUCUAGACUGGGUCCUACGAUGCCGCCACCGCCUAUCAAUGUGAGGAAUACAACGGAUUGGAGUAGUCGCCCUGCGGACUUGCAGCAGCACCCAAAACCGACAACAACGCCUGGAAGAACACCGACCAGUGGAACACCUUCUGGAAGGACCCCUGCUCUGAAGAAGCCAAAGGCAAACGAACCGAAUAAAAGAGAUAUGACGUAUGAAGAGAAGCAGAAGCUUAGUGGCCACUUACAGAAUUUGCCUCCAGACAAAUUAGAUGCGAUUGUACAAAUUGUUAACAGGAGGAACACCGCUGUGAAGCUAAGGGAUGAAGAAAUUGAAGUCGAUAUUGAUAGUGUUGAUCCGGAGACGCUGUGGGAGUUGGACAGAUUUGUAAUAAACUACAAAAAGGGAUUGAGCAAGAAAAAGAGAAAAGCUGAGCUGGCUAUGCAAGCUAGAGCAGAAGCCGAGAGGAAUGGCCAACAACAGAUGGCUCCAGCACCAGUGGCACGUGAGUUUUCUAGGGAGGGUGGCAACACAGCUAAAAAGACACUCCCUACACCGUUACCUUCUCAAGUGGAGAAGCAAAACAAUGAGGCAAGUCGAUCAAGUAGUUCAAGCAGCUCUUCCAGUGGUUCCAGCUCUUCUAGUGAUUCAGACAGCGAUAGCUCUUCGUCAUCUGGAUCAGAUCAGACCUAGACACUGCUGUACAAGAGGGACUGGUGUUGACAAAUAUUGGUAUAGAUUUCAACGGCAUCUUACUUGGCUCUGUUUUGGCAUGGUUGUAAUACAUUUGUAUUUGAUUGGCUUGUUCCCAUCUGGGCGUUUAAAAAGAUGGAAGGUAUAGUUAGAAGAGCAUUUGGGAGGUUGAAGAUGAGGUGACGUACAGGCUUGAGGCAGAAGUAUUGCAACGUGGUUUUGUGGAAGGAAAGAUUGUAUUAUAUUCACGACUGUUAAGAGUAAAAAGUAACAUAUUCUUUUUUUUCUUUUAGAGUUGGUAGUUUGAUUAUGUGGUUGGGGUGUCUACUUUAUGUAACCGUAGGGUUGGUUUGGUCUGUUUUGGUACUUUUGUAUAUCUCUGCCUCUCCCUCGUU